GAUGAACGCUGGCGGCGCGCCUAACACAUGCAAGUCGAACGAUUAAAGCACCUUCGGGUGUGUAUAAAGUGGCGAACGGCUGAGUAACACGUGGGCAACCUGCCCCUUUCAUUGGGAUAGCCACGGGAAACCGUGGAUAAUACCGAAUACUCCGAGACUUCCGCAUGGAAGACUCGAGAAAGCUCCGGCGGAGAGGGAUGGGCCCGCGGCCUGUUAGCUUGUUGGUGGGGUAACGGCCUACCAAGGCAAUGAUGGGUAGCUGGGUUGAGAGACCGACCAGCCAGAUUGGGACUGAGACACGGCCCAGACUCCUACGGGAGGCAGCAGUGGGGAAUCUUGCACAAUGGGCGAAAGCCUGAUGCAGCGACGCCGCGUGCGGGAUGAAGGCCUUCGGGUUGUAAACCGCUUUCAGCAGGGACGAGGCGAAAGUGACGGUACCUGCAGAAGAAGCCCCGGCUAACUACGUGCCAGCAGCCGCGGUAAUACGUAGGGGGCAAGCGUUAUCCGGAUUCAUUGGGCGUAAAGCGCUCGUAGGCGGUCUGUUAGGUCGGGAGUUAAAUCCGGGGGCUCAACCCCCGCUCGCUCUCGAUACCGGCAGACUUGAGUUUGGUAGGGGAAGGUGGAAUUCCUAGUGUAGCGGUGGAAUGCGCAGAUAUUAGGAAGAACACCAGUGGCGAAGGCGGCCUUCUGGGCCAUAACUGACGCUGAGGAGCGAAAGCUAGGGGAGCAAACAGG
rnacentral:rRNA from 1 species